rnacentral:tRNA from 1 species
AAAUAAGAAACAAUAAUUUGUAUUUAGUUUCGACCUAAAAGUUAGGUGAUUUUCACCCUUAUUUA